rnacentral:lncRNA from 1 species
GCGGUGGAGUCAGAAUGGGUUGCUUAACAGCCACCCCCACCCUGGGCUCGGAAGACGUCCACACCCAGAUCCUUAGCCCACCUGAGCGAGGCCAGGGAUCGAACCCACAUCCUUGUGGACAUUCGUCGGAUUUGUUUCCGAUGGGCGUCAAUGGGAGCUCCAUGGGGCAGCCCCUGAUUUCUCACGCUGGUGUCUGGUUCUGGCUGAAUCGGUGGCUUCUGGCUGGUAUUAGCCAACCGCGCCUGUAUAACAAAACAUCACAGACUCAGAAGCUUUAGAAGGACACACAUUUGCUGUCUCCAGCUUCUGGGGGUGAGGACACUGGACCCCUGGGCGUGAGGGGCUACACGGGAAGUAAGGCGACAUCACAAAGUUGGGCUUACACCACAUGCAUCUCUGGCUGCCCCUCUGUUGUCCUGACACCCGGGCUGCUCAGCCUUGUAACGGAAGCUGGCCCAUGGCUGCAUUGUGUCGCAUAGGAAAUUCAAACUGGCUUUUGGAAGGAUCUGCCACCCCUCUUGUUUCUUUCAACAUAAGAAAAACAGACAGUGAUGAGGUUUCUUCCCCAACCUUGGUUAGAUUUGAAAUACAAAGAGCACCACCAGGGGGGCUCCGGGGGCAGAACCAAACGUGACAUGCCGGGUCCACUUUAGAAGAUGUUUCUUCAGCUGGAGAACAAACACCACUUGAGGGAACGUCAAAGACAGCAGGGAUCAAAAACCUUCCGUUCCCUUGGCCUAAUUGAAUUAGACUCUAUUUUUCAAGCUGCAAAGCGACACGUCAACACAAGUACACUCUAAAAGCAAAAUUGGGAGUUCCCGUUGUGGCUUGGCAAUAACGAUCCCAGCUAGUAUCCGUGAGGAUGCAGGUUUGAUCCCUGGCCUGGCGCAGUGCGUCAAGACCCGGCGUUGCCAUGCACUGAGGUGUUGGUCACGGAUGCGGCUCGGAUCCCGCGUGGCUGUGGCUGUGGUGUCAGCCGGCAGCUACCGCUCUGAUGCACCUGCUAGCCUGGGAACGUCCAUGUGCUGCAGGUGUGGCCUUAAAAAGAAAAUAAAGACAUAAACAAAGAACUGGUCUAAUUUGAGGAUGGGACAUGGCUUCCCCCAACUCUCCCUGGGUGCCACUCUCCCUGGUCGCAUCAUACAGGAACCACUCACAGGGUCCUUUUGAUGGCUGUGCCCUCAACUGUAUUCAUGGCUUCCCCAUGAUAUUAGAAGGAGUCUGCGGCUAAACAUUUUAGCAUGUGCAGGUUGGAAUAAUUCUGGCCGUCUGCUCGCGUUGGUAUCAGGACGUAGAAAAUGCAUGCACUCAUGAACACGCUCAAAUAGGCAACACAGUUAGCAUAGUCUAUCGUAUGGGGACAUGCGUAUGACAGACCGUCAGUAUUUAACCAAUGGCAGGUGGGUGCAGACCUGAAAACUGAGAAACAUGUCAGUCACCAAGCGAAUGCGUCAGGGGUUUGGAAAGCAUAAGGAAUAUAGUCCAUGACGAGGUAAUAGCUCGGCACGAUUGCAGAGGGUCCCCCGACGGGUCACGGGGAGCACUCUGAAAUGUCUACAAGGAUCGAAUCAUGAUGCCGUGUGCCAAGACCUAACACAGGGGUGGAGACCAGUUAUGCUGCAGAAGCGAACAGACUCCUAGAAGAAGAGGUCAGGUGUGUGGUUCCCGAGGCGGGCGGUGGGGGAGGCAGCGGAAAGGGACAAACUUUUAUAGGUAAGAUAAAGAAGGCCCAAGGGACGUGAUGUACAACAUGAUAAGACUCAUGAACAUUGUUCUGUGGGGGGGGAGGGAGGUCCCCGUCGUGUCGCCAUGGUAACACACCUGACUAGCAUCCCAGA